UGAACAUCGGUAAAGAAUGAUGUUAGAAAGUUUGUCUUGCCUGGUAUCAUCAGUUGAUUAAGGUUCAUUAUCGGUUUCCUUCUUGCUGGCAUCCCUUGGUAUCUAGGUGCGUUUGUCCUGCUUUGUGCACAGAGAAACUAGGAUACAUCGUGUGCACUAUUGCUGCUGUUCUUGCUACUUUUGCCCUCAUAUUCGGUCUGACGAACACCUGAUUGGAGAGUGGUCAUCAAUCCGUGUGGAUUCAUAUCGGAACUCUAUCUGGCUUGAUAAUAUUGAUAGAUUAUAUUGUUAGCAGAAAGGAGUAUAUGCAUAUUUACAUGCCUUGAAGGUGCUGUUUCCCCAAUAAAGUAAGAUUAGUUAACAAUCUCAAUAAUUUAUGCACUGUUGAUAAAUAUAACAAAGAUUGGAAAGAUUUUUAAUUUGUUUGUCUUCAAAUCGUUAUAGUAAAUAUAAGAUGACAUAUAUACUUUUAACUAUGGAGCUCAAACUUUAGGACAUAGAGUUCGGAUUUGAGGAUCCGAGCUUGAAAUUUGUAUCUGUCCAGGGGGCAAUGGUAAAAUUUUCUUUUUUGGGUAAACUAUAAUAGAAGCGUGAGUAAGGCCUCUAGGAUCGACAUGGCUGCUAUGUGUCAUUCACAUUAAUCUUGAGGGCAUUUUCGACUUUUAAAAGAAUGAAGCAACGUGUCCUGGUUGUGAAGCACCAGCGCGUCCUUCGUAUUCUCCUUUGUUAACCUGUUCUCUCUUUCUCUCUCCAAAUGGCAC